rnacentral:rRNA from 1 species
AUUGAACGCUGGCGGCAUGCCUUACACAUGCAAGUCGAACGGCAGCGGGGACUUCGGUCCGCCGGCGAGUGGCGAACGGGUGAGUAAUGUAUCGGAACGUACCAUUGAGUGGGGGAUAACGUAGCGAAAGUUACGCUAAUACCGCAUAUUCUCUCCGGAGGAAAGCAGGGGACCGCAAGGCCUUGCGCUCUUUGAGCGGCCGAUAUCAGAUUAGCUAGUUGGUGAGGUAAAGGCUCACCAAGGCCACGAUCUGUAGCGGGUCUGAGAGGAUGAUCCGCCACACUGGAACUGGGACACGGUCCAGACUCCGGCGGGAGGCAGCAGUGGGGAAUUUUGGACAAUGGGGGCAACCCUGAUCCAGCCAUGCCGCGUGAGUGAAGAAGGCCUUCGGGUUGUAAAGCUCUUUCGGCCGGGAAAAAAUCGCAUGGGCUAAUACCCUGUGUGGAUGAUGGUACCGGAAUAAGAAGCACCGGCUAACUACGUGCCAGCCGCCGCGGUAA